GGAUAUCCUAGUUGAUUGAGAAAAGUAAAUUAAGUAAAAGGUAUGCAAACUGAGAAGGAAUAAAGAAAACCAUCUGUUCCCAAUCACAUUAUCAUCUAUAUAGAAAAAUCUCCCCCAAAUUUCCUUCAUUUGCUCCCAGUGAGCUGCUGUGUCCUAUAAGAAAAAGAUAAAAGACCUCCACAGAUUGUUGAACCUCUCACUGUGAAACUGAAGCCCACUGGUUAUAAAUGCAGAAGAUGACAGGUGUCUCUCAACAGUAUAAUCUCCAAACAGCUGAGCACAACUCUACUGAGGAGAUACAAAUUCUAGGGUUUGGCAUUGUUCUUGAAUCACCUUUCCUAGAUCCAGAAGUGUAGUUCACUGAAGACUUUUAUGUGUUUGUGCCUAAAACUCAGGAACACUCUAUUGUCAAACUACACUUGCUAAAUAAGCUCUGUUUAGAAAACUAGUGUGUGCAUUUUUUGAUGAUGAAGAUUUUUGCUAAAAGUCCUCAUGGAAGACUUUUUCCCAAUGGAAAAGGGAAAAGAAGACUGAAUGAAAACCAGAAAGUACUAAAACAAAGUACUGCAAGUGAGUUGUGGAGAGAAGUGGUAUAGCAUUUCUAGAAAGGAGUAACAUGAAAAAGCACAGUAAAACCAUGAGUAUUCAAAACACUGCAGGGCUGGAAAUGUAGCUCAAUGAUAGCAUGAAUAAUGUGCACAAAGCCCUAAGUUCACAUGAUAAAAUAAGAGGAUAAGGAAACAUACUAAGAAAAUGAGAUUAAGAAGCAUACUGAACCAAGAUAAGAAUGCAUGUAUUCUUAUACCUAUAGAUGACUCAUGAAGGGUUUUACAUGUGUGGUAGUAAUAUGGUCAAUUUGUGUUUUAAAAAUGGAUUGCUGGAGGGAUGUGCUAUUCAAUAGAGCUUUCUAUGAUAAUAAACAUGUUCUGUAUUUAUGUUGUGCAGAAUGGCACCCAUGGCCACUAUAGCCAUCAAAUAACUAUUAAACAUGUGAAUCUAAAAUAUAUAAAGAAAAAUAAAAAAGAUCAUGAACAAUGGUCUUUAUCUCUGGAUUACAAAGUUUGCUUAAUACUUGAAAGGCAAUUCAUUAUAUUAGCAGAAUGAAGAAAACUUAUAUGAUCAUUUUAAUAGUUUCAAAUUUUUGACAUAUUUUGACAAUCAUUCAUGAUAAGGGGAAAAAGCUAUGGAAAGGCUUGGGGUAUAGCUUAGUGGUAGCAUGCUUGCCUAGGAUGCUUCAGGAUUUGGGUUUAUUCCCCAGCACAAGAAAGAAAGAAGGGGAAGGAGCAGGGAAAGAAG
rnacentral:lncRNA from 1 species